AUGAACGCUGGCGGCGUGCCUAAUACAUGCCAGUCGAGCGCACAGACGAGGAGCUUGCUCCUCUGACGUUAGCGGCGGACGGGUGAGUAACACGUGGAUAACCUACCUAUAAGACUGGGAUAACUUCGGGAAACCGGAGCUAAUACCGGAUAAUAUAUUGAACCGCAUGGUUCAAUAGUGAAAGACGGUUUUGCUGUCACUUAUAGAUGGAUCCGCGCCGCAUUAGCUAGUUGGUAAGGUAACGGCUUACCAAGGCAACGAUGCGUAGCCGACCUGAGAGGGUGAUCGGCCACACUGGAACUGAGACACGGUCCAGACUCCUACGGGAGGCAGCAGUAGGGAGUCUUCCGCAAUGGGCGAAAGCCUGACGGAGCAACGCCGCGUGAGUGAUGAAGGUCUUCGGAUCGUAAAACUCUGUUAUUAGGGAAGAACAAAUGUGUAAGUAACUAUGCACGUCUUGACGGUACCUAAUCAGAAAGCCACGGCUAACUACGUG
rnacentral:rRNA from 1 species